CCUACGGGUGGCAGCAGUGAGGAAUAUUGGUCAAUGGACGAGAGUCUGAACCAGCCAAGUAGCGUGAAGGAUGACUGCCCUAUGGGUUGUAAACUUCUUUUAUAUGGGAAUCACAUGUUCCACGUGUGGGCUUUUGUAUGUACCAUAUGAAUAAGGAUCGGCUAACUCCGUGCCAGCAGCCGCGGUAAUACGGAGGAUCCGAGCGUUAUCCGGAUUUAUUGGGUUUAAAGGGAGCGUAGGUGGAUUGUUAAGUCAGUUGGGAAAGGUUGCGGCUCAACCGUAAAAUUGCAGUUGAAACUGGCAGUCUGGAGUACAGUAGAGGUGGGCGGAAUUCGUGGUGUAGCGGUGAAAUGCUUAGAUAUCAUGAAGAACUCCGAUCGCGAAGGCAAGUGUCCGGGGUGCAACUGACGCUGAGGCUCGAAAGUGCGGGUAUCAAACAGGAUUAGAUACCCUGGUAGUC
rnacentral:rRNA from 1 species